UGCACCCCUGUUUAGGAUUUCAGCCAAUGAAAACCUGUAUGCGGGACUGUUGCCACGAGACCAGUGAGAUUAUUUCCACCGCGGCCUGUGUUUCGGCGCAUGCGCAGUUGGGGGAAAGUUCUGGAACAGACUGACGCUGCCGCCAUUUUGCGGGAAGAAGAGCAGUUCCGGCCGCAGUGUUGCUUUUACUGCUGAGCCUUUGAGAAGUAGCCGGGCUUCGUGCCCCCACAACACUCCCAAAGGAACGGAGAGAACCGGGACCCCCCCCCUGCGGGGACCCGGAACUGGUUCUGGCACAGUGGCAUCUGAUGACUUUGAUAUAGUGAUUGAAGCCAUGUUGGAGGCUCCCUACAAAAAAGAGGAGGUAAUAUUCCCCACCCCAACUGUUGGAAUUGGGUUGGUAAGAAAGAGCAGCUGUGGAUUGUCAGUUUUAACAUUUUAUGACUCCUCUUUCCUUCUUGUUCAUUAUGUACAGCUAUUCAUAAAAGGUAUAGGCUUUUGGCAAGCUCUCCUGAAGACCCCAUACUCAAGGGCCAGGUUUUUAGAAAGGACCCCCAAACCAGGCGCAGGAACAUAAUGUGGCUGGUGGUGGGAACAAGUGUUUUGCUCAUAACUUUCAGUGACACAGUAGAAAGUCAGUGUUCUUAGACCUAUCUCUGAGGUCUUACUCUCAUUGGAGCAGAUGUUGAGUGGCUGAAGUUUUGACAUCAGAAUCUGCCACUCUGGUCUCUUCGUUUUGGACGGUAUCCUCUCUCCCCAUUAGGAGAUCCAGGUCCUUAGAAUCUGGCUAAAUAAUUGAAAGCUUUGAUUUCAUGGGCUUUCUUCCCUUUGUUCACCUUUGUUCUUUUUUUGCCCAAUGGAAUCACCUUUGUUCUUUUUUUGCCCAAUGGAAUCUGUGUGUCUGUCACCUUGUGCUUGUGGCAUUUUCCUGGUGUACCCCUCAGGAUGAGCAGCAAGGGAAAGAAGUUAAAAAGGACAACGCUAGCAAUACCACUAACAGCACCAGCUGCACUGGCAACAAUGGUAGUGGUACCAAUGGAAGCAGCAUCAAUGGGGAGACAAGCAAAAAGAAGAGGAGUCGGAGCCAUAGUAGAAGCAGGGUUAGAAAGCACAGUCAUAGUCGAGACCGAGAUUGGCAUAGACGGAGAAGCAGCCGAAGUCGGGAUAGACAGCAUCGCCACCGCAGCUGGAGCUGGGAUCGUCGACGUAGUAGUGAGUCACGAAGUCGGGACUGGCGGCAUGAGGAUUGUGUGCACUACAGGAGUCUACCACUUGCCACUGGGUAUCAGCUUUUGCUAAUAAGAAUCACUUGUGUUAUAAUCUGGGCAAAACACCAAAUUGUAUUCUGUACCAUGCCCAAGAGUGCUUUUAACUCAUUGGACAGGAUACCCAGUUACUGGAGGGAUCGUGUUAAGAGUUCACAUAUGAGGUGUAGGUAUGGACACAGCAGGAGUCCUCAUUUCAGAGAGAAGAGCCCCGUCAGGGAGCCAGUAGAUAACCUGAGUCCUGAGGAGCGUGAUGCCCGCACAGUUUUUUGUAUGCAAUUGGCUGCCCGCAUUCAGCCUCGAGACUUAGGGGACUUUUUCUCCGCUGUUGGCAAGGUCCGUGAUGUACGUAUCAUCUCAGAUCGGAACUCACGUCGUUCUAAAGGCAUUGCCUAUGUGGAAUUUUGUGAAAUUCAGUCUGUGCCUCUGGCCAUUGGGCUGACUGGGCAGCGGCUACUGGGAGUGCCUAUCAUUGUACAGGCCUCACAGGCUGAGAAAAACCGACUGGCAGCCAUGGCUAACAACCUGCAGAAGGGCAGUGGUGGGCCAGUGCGCCUCUACGUGGGCUCUCUGCACUUCAAUAUCACUGAGGACAUGCUCCGGGGCAUCUUUGAGCCCUUUGGCAAAAUUGAUAAUAUUGUCCUGAUGAAGGACUCAGAUACGGGCCGCUCUAAAGGUUAUGGUUUCAUUACGUUUUUCGACUCUGAGUGUGCCCGGCGGGCCCUGGAACAGUUGAAUGGCUUUGAGCUUGCUGGUCGGCCUAUGAGGAUUGGCCAUGUGACUGAGCAAUUGGAUGGUGGCACAGACAUCACUUUUCCUGAGGGGGACCAGGAGCUGGAUCUAGGAUCCGCAGGUGGACAUUUGCAGCUCAUGGCCAAACUGGCAGAAGGCUCUGGAAUCCAGUUGCCGACCACAGCUGCUGCUGCUGCACUGUAACUGAAUGGAGCAGUUCCCUUGGGGGCCUUGAAUCCAGCGGCUCUGACUGCUCUGAGUCCAGCCCUGAACCUUGCCUCCCAGGCAAUCUCCUCCCAGUGCUUCCAGCUCUGGAGCCUCUUUACCCCACAGACCAUGUAAAUCAGUGACCCACACUGCAUCCUUGGGCCUCUGGGUCCUGCCACUCCCUUCUCCACCUCUGCCCUUCCACAGCCCCUUCUCUCCAUUUUAUGGAUCAGACCAUCCUGAGGGCAUGGACAUUGAUUCUGGGGUAACUGGAGCCACCUUUGGACACCAAGAAGAGCUCCUAUCCAUGGCCACUCUUGGAGUGGACUCUGCUGAGCAAAGCCCCCAAUCGAAGAUGGCAGAAUCUAUACCUACGUUGAAUACAUGUUUCUUCAUGUGUGUUGCCUUCCAAGAUGACCUUCAUUGCCCUUUCCAACCACCCCUUAGUGAUUCCUUGAUUCCUCUCCUAUUGGGAAUGCCAUAGGGCAUCAACUGAAGAAACUAACCUCUCUCCUUUUCCUCCAUCUUUGUGGACAGUCUGUCAUGGAAAAUCCUUAAAGGACCUCUGGGUCAAAAAGGACAUUGGAAUUUGGUGGGUGAACCUGGAAGGUGCUGGCUUGCUGCUACAAGGGCCCUGAAUGAUGGCAUGGACAUGUGCAUUGUGAAGCCUGCCUUUCAACCUCAGCUUAGUACAGCUUGGGGCCAGAACUCCUGUAGGCUCGGUGUCUUGCUGGGAGAUGUGGGAGUGAUCUAUCCUGCUAGGCAUUUUGGAUGCCUUAGGGACCUUCAGGAGUUUAGUGAAAGGUGGGGUACCUUUCCAGUAUCUUCUGUCUUCCUGUGUACAGUUGUCCUUCCUCCCAGGUCCUCCUUUUGGCCCAGUGUGGGAGAAUGGAGGGGAGGCUGCUACUUUUCACCUCUUCUCCUCAACCCUGGUUGUUAAAGCCGCUCCUAACCCUUACCUGGGCAUAUAUGAGCCCUUCUCACUGGAUUUUAUACCCUUGUGUCUGUGUAUAUAAAUAUAUAUAUAUAAACUUUGUACAAAAGGCAGUCCUUCUGUUGUGGCGGCUACUGCCUGUAUGUGUGGUAUUGGUGUCUGUCUGAUUUUAACUUCUCAUGAGCCAAAACCAUGAACGGUUCUAGGGAUAUAAAACAUCUGUAAUGCCAUUGCAUUUUCUUUAUUUUGAUUUUGAUUUAUUUAACAUUUUUAGAAAGAAAUAAAAAUGGACAAUGGUUCAA